CCCUUAGAUGUUCUGGGCCGCACGCGCGCUACACUGACGGAGUCAACGAGUUGUCCUGCAUCGGAAGGUGUGGGUAAUCUUUUGAAACUUCGUCGUGCUGGGGAUAGAUCUUUGCAAUUUUCGAUCUUGAACGAGGAAUUCCUAGUAAGCGUGAUUCGUCAGAUCGCGUUGAUUACGUCCCUGCCCUUUGUACACACCGCCCGUCGCUACUACCGAUUGAAUGGUUUAGUGAGGCCUCGGGACUGGCGCGCUCGAGUAGCAAUACACCUGCGCGCCGGGAACUUGGUCAAACUUGAUCAUUUAGAGGAAGUAAAAGUCGUANCA
rnacentral:rRNA from 1 species